rnacentral:rRNA from 1 species
GACGAACGCUGGCGGCGUGCUUAACACAUGCAAGUCGAACGGUGAAGCGCCUUCCUUUUUGGUUGGUGUGGAGGAGUGGCCAACGGGUGAGUAACACGUGAGUAACCUGCCCCCUCCUUCUGGAUAACCGCAUGAAAGUGUGGCUAAUACGGGAUAUUCUGGGCCUGUGGCAUGAUGGGUCUGGGAAAGAUUUUGUUUCGGUGGGGGAUGGUCUCGUGGCCUAUUAGCUGGUUGGUGGGGUGAGGGCGGACCAAGGCGGCGACGCGUAGCCGGCCUGAUAGGAUGGUGGGCGGCACCGCAAGUGCGGCGCCGCCCACACGCCUACGGGGGGCGGCAGCGGGGAAGAUUAGUGAACGAUGGGCAGAAGGCUGAUGCAGCGCCGCGGCGUGGGGGAUGGCGGCCUGCGGGUUGUGCACUUCUUUCGCGAGUGAAGCGGGCCUGCCUCGUAUGUGGGUGGGUUGACGGUAGCUAGAUAAGAAGCGCCGGCUAACUACGUG